rnacentral:pre_miRNA from 1 species
UUAGGUUUUCUUCAUUUUAUUCUGGGAUUUUUGUUGUUGAAGGUUGAUGGAGAUGAUAUGAAGAUGAAAAAGAGGAGAAG